GACGAACGUUGGCGGCGUGCUUAAUACAUGCAAGUCCACUGAAGCAGUGGUAGCAAUAUCGCUGUGGAGGUGGCGCACGGGUGAGUAACACGUAGGUCAUCUGCCUUCAGGUCUGGCAUAACUCCGGGAAACCGGGGCUAAUAGCAGAUGAUGCAGCGGCUCGACAUCGAGACAGUUGUUAAAGCUAUGGCGCCUGAAGAUGAGCCUGCGUCUGAUUAGCUAGUUGGCGGGGUAACGGCCCACCAAGGCAACGAUCAGUAGCUGGUCUGAGAGGAUGAUCAGCCACACUGGAACUGAGACACGGUCCAGACUCCUACGGGAGGCAGCAGUAAGGAAUAUUGCUCAAUGGGAGAAAUCCUGAAGCAGCAACGCCGCGUGAGGGACGAAGGGCGUUUGCUUGUAAACCUCUGUAGUGAGAGAAAAAAAUCCCAAUCUUUGGGACAUGAUGGUAUCUCAAAAGUAAGCCCCGGCUAACUACGUG
rnacentral:rRNA from 1 species